rnacentral:rRNA from 1 species
UACGUAGGGGGCAAGCGUUACUCGGAAUUACUGGGCGUAAAGGGCACGUAGGCGGUGCUGCGCGUUUGGGGUGACAGCUCCCGGCUUCACUGGGAGAAAGCUUCAAAGACGGCAGCACUUGAGGACUGGAGAGGGAACGGGAACUCCUGGUGGAGCGGUGAAAUGCGUAGAGAUCAGGAAGAACACCGAAGGCGAAGGCACGUUCCUGGACAGGACCUGACGCUGAGGUGCGACAGCCAGGGGAGCAAACGGG